rnacentral:rRNA from 1 species
UAGUGGCGAACGGGUGAGUAACACGUGGGCAAUCUGCCCUGCACUCUGGGACAAGCCCUGGAAACGGGGUCUAAUACCGGAUACGAGCCUCCUCCGCAUGGUGGAGGUUGGAAAGCUCCGGCGGUGCAGGAUGAGCCCGCGGCCUAUCAGCUUGUUGGUGAGGUAACGGCUCACCAAGGCGACGACGGGUAGCCGGCCUGAGAGGGCGACCGGCCACACUGGGACUGAGACACGGCCCAGACUCCUACGGGAGGCAGCAGUGGGGAAUAUUGCACAAUGGGCGAAAGCCUGAUGCAGCGACGCCGCGUGAGGGAUGAAGGCCUUCGGGUUGUAAACCUCUUUCAGCAGGGAAGAAGCGAAAGUGACGGUACCUGCAGAAGAAGCGCCGGCUAACUACGUGCCAGCAGCCGCGGUAAUACGUAGGGCGCAAGCGUUGUCCGGAAUUAUUGGGCGUAAAGAGCUCGUAGGCGGCUUGUCGCGUCGGUUGUGAAAGCCCGGNGCUUAACCCCGGGUCUGCAGNCGAUACNGGCAGGCUAGAGUUCGGUAGGGGAGAUCGGAAUUCCU